GCCGGGAUAGUCUAGUGGUUAUGACGUCUGCCUCACACGCAGAAGGUCGCGAGUUCAAUCCUCGCUCCUGGUA
rnacentral:tRNA from 1 species